rnacentral:lncRNA from 1 species
UCGAGUAUAAUCUCCAAAAUAUGGAAAAGAAUCAAAAUCUAACAACAUAUAGAAAAUUGCCAAAAUUGAAAAAUUCGCCAAAUUUUUGGCCUGUGCGGCCGCAUGGUUCAACUGAAAUUGCACUUUUUGUUUUUGGUAUGCAUUUGUGUGGCCGCAUGUGGUUUUGCCUGUGCGGCCGCAUGGUGUUGUUUUCAGCCUCCACUUUCAUCGCUUGAUAACAAAUUGAUCCAAGUUGAUUCGGCCUUCGACCCAAACAUGAAAGUUGCUCCAUUUUGAGUCCCGAACAUGGUUCCAUCAAUGGUUUCUUGAACGAGCAAUCACAUCGCUUGUUUCACUAGCUUUGUCCUUGAUCACAUCAUUAGUCCGCUAUCGACUAUCAACGGGUCUCGUUUCACACUUGCCUUCGUCGGGUUCGACUCCUGGAUCAUAUCAGGGAGUAUAACAAGCAAUUCUAUAUGUUCCCUAUACAGAGUUACCCUGCACAUUUAUAUGAUACCAAUCUAACGAUCUGUUCAAUUCCAGAUAAAAGCUAAUAGGGCUAAUGUCAUACUUCAAAGGAAUCGGAUUGGAAAACUACCUAACACGUCACUUUUCAACUCACCUAAAAUGUCUUGUCAUCUCCAACCUACAGACAAAUUAAGAUGCAGAGAGUAAUAUGGAGAAAUUUCAAGUAAACAUGUGCCCACAGGAUGUCUGCACAUCAAUGCAAUAGCUGGUGCGAGCAUUUAAGCAACAGCAUGCAGUGCAAAAGAACUCUCUACACUUUCAAAUUUGUGCCAAUAUCUAUUUCAUAGAAUGAUGUAUACUGUAAUAAUGUUCCAAUUUUGGUGGUGCGCAAUGAGUAACAACAAUGUUCCAUGUAUCCAUAAUGAACUAUAUAGUUUAAAAGAUCAAACACAAGCACAGCUAUAUCAUAUAUUGAAGACAUUCAGUUAGUUGGCACCUUAGAGACUUCUUACAUGAUAAUUUUGUGUAAUAGAGUUGUAUUAUAUCCAAAUUUAUACAUUUUUCAAUCAAUCCUCCCAAGUAUUUAAAUGCAAUUAAAUGCUAUAAAAAGUUUGUCAACAUGUUUUUGUUGAAAUUACUAUAUUCCUAAGUAUUUUAUGUUCAUAUUUCUUUAUAGCUAAUAACUCGUUCCAAAUAAAAUUUAUUUUUCUAUUAUUUAUAUAAUAGAAGUACAUCAGUAAUCUUCUACACAUACACCUAUUACUGUAGCUUCUUCUAUCUCUACUUCACAUAUUCGUUCAUUAUCCUAGGAUAACUUAUUAAAUCAUGUGGUCCAUGAUGGGGAUGUCCACCAGUAUAUUGUAGAAAAGAAAAUGCUCAAUCAGAAGAGUAAGUAUACCCAAAUGGUUGACCCACCAUGAUUCUGCAUUUCAAUAAUAUACCCCAUCCAACAAUAAUAGAAACCCAAAAUUUCUUAGACUCAAUUGUGAAUUUUAAGAAAAUUGAGCUAAUUGGGUAAAUAGCAGUUAUAUAAUUUAGGAAAAUAAAAUGGGGAAAAUAAGGAGUAGAACCAGCAAAACCAGAAAGAAAAGAGGGAGAAGAAGGCAAUAAAAUUACCUUCAGCUGAAUAGGGUUACAAUUGUGAGUUACGCUGGAGGACAAGCUGCAGCUAGGAUCCUGACAGUGACAAUUUUUCACAAAUCUUGUUGACUGCUCCAACAAGUUCAGCCAAUUCUAGUUGAAAUUGAGGGUGACCCAUGGUAGAACUAGAUGCGCCUGGUUGAAAGGAAUGUUGUGGUGGUGCUCCACGAUUGAGAGGGUGGCUGGAUGUGGAAGCAACUGGGAAAAACGUGACUGCGAUCACAGUUUUGGAUGGGAAUUGGUGUUGUUUCUGGCGGUCUGUGGGUAGACAAUGGUUGGAGGUUGUAGAGGGAGGUAAAGAGGUGCCGUGGUAUGUGGGUCCAAUGGCUUAGGUGGCGAGUGGUGGUUGAUAUUGAUGGAAGGAGGUGGCAAAUUGUAGCUCAAGAAAAAGAAAGAAUUUUGGAGAAAAU